rnacentral:rRNA from 1 species
CGUGAGCGGCGGACGGGUGAGUAACGCGUGGGUAACCUGCCUCAUACAGGGGGAUAACAGUUGGAAACGGCUGCUAAUACCGCAUAAGCGCACAGUACCGCAUGGUACGGUGUGAAAAACUCCGGUGGUAUGAGAUGGACCCGCGUCUGAUUAGGUAGUUGGUGGGGUAAAGGCCUACCAAGGCGACGAUCGGUAGCCGGACUGAGAGGUUGAACGGCCACAUUGGGACUGAGACACGGCCCAG